AUUGAACGCUGGCGGCAUGCCUAACACAUGCAAGUCGAGCGAGCGGCGGACGGGUGAGUAAUGUCUGGGAAACUGCCUGCUGGGGGGGGAUAACUACGCGGAAGCGUAGCUAAUACCGCCUACUAUUGGAGAGGCCGAUAUCGGAGUAGCUAGUUGGUGGGGUAACGGCUCACCAAGUCGCCGAUCCGUAGCUGGUGUGAGAGGACGACCAGCCACACUGGGACUGAGACACGGCCCAGACUCCUACGGGAGGCAGCAGUGGGGAAUUUUGGACAAUGGGCGAAAGCCUGAUCCAGCCAGGCCGCGUGUGUGAAGAAGGCCUUCGGGUUGUAAAGCACGUUCAGCGGGGAGGCGUUACCCGCAGAAGAAGCACCGGCUAACUCCGUGCCAGCCGCCGCGGUAAUAC
rnacentral:rRNA from 1 species